rnacentral:rRNA from 1 species
CGUAGGUGGCAAGCGUUGUCCGGAAUUAUUGGGCGUAAAGCGCGCGCAGGCGGUUCCUUAAGUCUGAUGUGAAAGCCCCCGGCUCAACCGGGGAAGGUCAUUGGAAACUGGGGAACUUGAGUGCAGAAGAGAAGAGCGGAAUUCCACGUGUAGCGGUGAAAUGCGUAGAGAUGUGGAGGAACACCAGUGGCGAAGGCGGCUCUUUGGUCUGUAACUGACGCUGAGGCGCGAAAGCGUGGGGAGCAAGCAAGAUUAGAUACCCUGGUAGUCCACGCCGUAAACGAUGAGUGCUAAGUGUUAGAGGGUUUCCGCCCUUUAGUGCUGCAGCUAACGCAUUAAGCACUCCGCCUGGGGAGUACGGCCGCAAGGCUG